AAAUGGAUCUCGCGACAGAGAGCCGGGAAAAGCGAAAAAUUAUUCUGACCAUGAAAUAUCAUUCAACAGCGUAAUACAGUUGGCGCUUUCAAUCCCUUGCAGCAAAACGUAUCACAGUAUCAGCGACCUCCCGUUCACGCUGGGCCGCAGUGACCUACGACCCUGGUACCUAGUUCCCGGUUGCCCGUUCUUCCUCCGGGCCGCCUCGAGUUCCUCGAGUUGCCCGACCCCAUGCUGCCGGCGCCCUCGAGCCCGGCUCCCCGUGACCAGUCGCUGGCACCCCUGAGCCCGGCCCCUAUCCGCCCACCGGGCCGACCCCUGGAGGCCCCCCGGCCGCCUGAUCUUCCUCCGAGACCCCCGCCAGAGUUCAUCGGGCUGCCCGACCCCCUGCAGCAAAUCUUCCCUGUGUGUCUUUUAUAGUAUUGAACUCUUAUUGGAACAGAUACAGUAGGUGGAUGAGUAUUGCUACUCUUCUUACUUGGGAGGAGAAUGAGGCAGAUAUGACCUGACCUGGCCACCUUCUUUUCAGGGGAAUGUAUUCAUUGGGGAGCAGAUGGGUUUCUUGGAUAUAAGCUAUCUGGAUUGUUAGCUGCUUCCGUCUCAACAUCACUAUUUCCCUGAGGCCCGUAACAUUUAUUUCAGUGUCACCACCCAUGGUAAAGUCAGAAAACUAGGCUUACUUGCAACCAAUUCUUUAAUCAUGCCAUGUGAUAGUAGUAAGUGAAUAGUGUGCCUUCAAAGUAAACAGACAAACAAACAGAACAAACAACAACAAGGACCUCUUCCAAUUGAGGCCCCACCCUGUGCGGGUGAACACGCACAUCUCCCCUGUGCCCCGUGGACUGGGUCUCGGUUAGACUGAGCCGUGAUCCUUUGGAGGAGCAGUGUAGCAACCAGCUCUAUUAAAUGUAUUCUCCUCUUGGUUUAGCUUGUUGCUAGUUACUUCUUCCGUGUCUUCCUCACCUAACGUUAGUUUCAGUUUUUUUGUUGUCUUUAGGAAGAUGGCUUUUCCGAUUUUUCGACAUUGCAUGAAAUGUAUCUUAGCUUGCUUUGGUUUGUAAGGUAACGUUAUAUUUAUUUCGCCGAAGCCUCGCUCCACCCACGUCUGCUCAGGAAUUUGACUUGGCAGUUGGUGUGUAACAAUAGACAACAAGACAUCAGUGCACAAGUGGUAAAAUGAAAUGAAAUGCUAAUGCUAUGCGUUAGUAGAAUAAGGCUAUGGGUUAGUAUAAAACAAGAGAAUAAAGUUAAAGUUAAAAAUAAAAAAUAUUUAAAAAGUUUAAAAAUAUAAAAAAAAUAAAGUGCACUAGCGAACAAGUGACAAAGUGACGAGUGAAAAAUGACAGUUAAAAAGUGACAAGUGCAGUAUGAAAGAGAGUGACCGGUGGAAUGUCAGAGUCAGUCAGUGACUCUGUUGAUGAGCCCGACUGCCGACGGGAAGAAACCUCUGCUGAGCCUUCCUGGUGAUGGAGCUGAUGUUCAGCUCCCACUUGAGGUCCUGGGUGAUGAUGGAGCCCAGGAAACGGAAGGAAUCCACAAUGGUGACGGGGGAGUCGCACAGCGUAAUGGGGGAGGGUGGGGCUCUGUUCCGCCGGAAAUCCACAACCAUCUCCACUGUCUUUAGAGCUCCAGGUUGUUCUGACUGCACCACGACACCAGAGGGUCAGACUCCCACCUGUAGACGGACUCAUCCCCACCGGAGAUCAGUCCAAUGAGGGUGGUGUCAUCCCCAAACUUCAGGAGCUUGACGGACUGGUGAGUGGAGGUGCAGCUGUUGGUGUACAGGGAGAGACACGUCCAGCUGGGAGAGUUUGUCCUGCAGCAGAGACGGGAUGAUGGUGUUGAAGGCAGAGAUGAAGUCCACAAACAGGAUCCUGGCGUAGGUUCCUGGGGAGUCCAGAUGCUGGAGGAUGUAGUGGAGGGCCAUGUUGACAGCGUCGUCCACAGACCUGUUGGUUCUGUAGGCGAACUGCAGGGGGUCCAGGAGGGGGGUCGGUGAGGGACUUCAGGUGGGUCAGGACUAGCCGUUCAAAAGACUUCAUGACUACAGAGGUCAGGGCGACGGGCCUGUAGUCAUUGAGUCCUGUGAUCCUGGGCUUCUUGGGAACAGGGAUGAUGGUGGAGGCCUUGAAGCAGGCUGGUACGUGGCAUGUCUCCAGGGAGGUGUUGAAGAUGUCAGUGAACACCGGAGACAGCUGCUCAUAACCAUGGUACUGUAACUCUGGAGGUGGACAGUAACCGUGUACUCCACAGAUUUGUGGCCUCAAUGCCAAAACCCUGUGCGUGGUGGACACCCAAUUGCCCAUCACCGUGAGCACACCAUCCCAACAGGGAAAUAUGGUGGUGAUGCCAUCAUUUCACAUUUUAUAUCUGACCUAUUUAUCAAGUAAAUUAAAGAUAAUAAUAUAACAAACUCUGACGAUUUCUUCUUGUAACAUCAAUCAAGCAUUUGAGUCCAUCUUGAAGAAUUGUGACAAAUUAUUGAGAGCACUGUCUAGCAGUAUACUAACAUCGGGGUAAAGCACAUUCCAUCUCUGCCGCUUCCUGGUCCUGAACGUUUUGUUGGUGUCAAAGUGUGACACUCGUGUUAGUGAGCCCCCUACUCUCUUAUUGGUAUCACUCUGCAGCUACUGAUGCAUCCGGCUUCGCUGGCCGAGUAACUGGAGGUACUGUUCCUUAAAAUAAGAAUAGAAUGUUUAACAAUGGUGCAAUGAAGAAGCUGCCCUAAAAUCUGGCUUUGAGGUGGAACUAAAAUAGACGAAUUUAAGUAGUAACUUAAGGCUUAUUAUUGUUGACAGUCUUUUGCCAACAUUAGACCUUCUCAUCCUUUUCAGUUUAACCAUUCAAUUCAAGAUUGAAGUGUAUCAAAUAAUGUGAAAGUGACAAGUGACCAGUGUAUGUGUAUGUGGAGUGUGAAGGGAGUGAUUGGUGGAUAAGGGGAUGACAGAGUCAGUCAGUUGGGGACCCCACGCUCUGAAACUUGUGUGGCGGGAAGUCUCGGUCCUGACGUACCUCAGCCUCGUGCCAGAUGGAAGGGGCACAAACAAUUUGGACCGGGGGGAAAGGGGUCGGCUACUUUUGUGUCCCUUGCGUGCCUUUUCACACCUCGUUGCGUGCGUCGACCCAUUUUUUUAUUCCGCGGGCUUUGUUGGUCUGCUACAUUCUUUCCGAAGUCUCACAUUUCUGUUUUCAUAGAACAAUACCAUUAUUAAAACGAAGAAUGUUUACGAGAGAACGGAUCAGAUUGAAGAGCUUUUGUCGGAAGAAAUCCGUAUUUAUGACCACUUCUACAACCUGUCUUUGGCGGACUCUAAGGACGCGCGGAUGGCCUCUGAUUCAUGGAGGGAGAUCUCCGCAAACGUCGGUUUGCCGGUCGAGAGGUACACAAAGUUGUGGAGGAAAAUACAGGACAAAUGUGUCCGCGAUGAAAAGCAACAGUGUCGAUGCACGGGACAAUAAAGUCUAUGAUAAAUAAACUAAUGACUUCCACACACAAAGACGUGACUCUCCAUGUCGUCUUCGACAAAAAACUACUCCACCUAUUGUUCUGGCGGUGAAUUGCUCUGCAACACACGCAAGCCUUUUAGAACCAGGAAUUGAAGCGAGUGCGUUGACACAACGGUGCCAGUUCACACAAUUUAUUCAAGGGGAUUUUCUCUCAUGACCAUAGACGUCCUUGCACACCAAUCUAGUAGACUCUGGUCUAACGUGACCUGUUUGCAGUUCCAAAGAAGUAGGUCUUCCGGUUGACCCGCCAACCUGUGAUCAAUUUAGUUUUGUCGUCUAACAUGACUAGUCCAGCUAAUGCCGCUUAUUCCUAGCCUAACGUGACCAGUCUAGCGGAAUCAAGUUACGGCUCAUAGAAGAUGGAAGAGCGCGAUUCAUGCAAAUAGUUCAGAAAUUGUCCUCUGAAAGUAUGCAGUGUGUUUGGAGUGCUUGAGUGAUGCGAAACAUUUGCGUUGUGUUUGGUUUAAUUAUUCAUAUGGUGCAUUCACACCAAUCUAUCCAACAUUAAUAAAGAUAUUACUUUUUUGGUCUUGAAAAUUGAAGGCAGCUAUCG
ensembl:lncRNA